rnacentral:rRNA from 1 species
AGCUCCAAUAGCGUAUAUUAAAGUUGUUGCAGUUAAAAAGCUCGUAGUUGAAUUUUUGUGUCUGGUAUUGGUGCAUCUUAAUUGAUGUUUGCUGUAUGUCGACAACAUUUAUCUGUUGAGGAAACACUUAAUUGUGUAAAUCAUUAGAUCGUUUACUUUGAGUAAAUUAGAGUGUUUCAAGCAAGGUUUUGCUAUGAAUACUGUAGCAUGGAAUAAUAAAAUGGGACUUUGGUACUAUUUUGUUGGUUUUUAGAACCAAAGUAAUGAUAAAUAGGGAUAGUUGGGGGCAUUCGUAUUCAACAGCUAGAGGUGAAAUUCUUAGAUUUGUUGAGGACGAACUACAGCGAAAGCAUUUGCCAAGGAUGUUUUCA